rnacentral:rRNA from 1 species
AGCGAACGCUGGCGGCAGGCUUAACACAUGCAAGUCGAGCGGGCGUAGCAAUACGUCAGCGGCAGACGGGUGAGUAACGCGUGGGAACGUACCUUUUGGUUCGGAACAACACAGGGAAACUUGUGCUAAUACCGGAUAAGCCCUUACGGGGAAAGAUUUAUCGCCGAAAGAUCGGCCCGCGUCUGAUUAGCUUGUUGGUGAGGUAACGGCUCACCAAGGCGACGAUCAGUAGCUGGUCUGAGAGGAUGAUCAGCCACAUUGGGACUGAGACACGGCCCAAACUCCUACGGGAGGCAGCAGUGGGGAAUAUUGGACAAUGGGGGGAAACCCUGAUCCAGCCAUGCCGCGUGAGUGAUGAAGGCCCUAGGGUUGUAAAGCUCUUUUGUGCGGGAAGAUAAUGACGGUACCGCAAGAAUAAGCCCCGGCUAACUUCGUGCCAGCAGCCGCGGUAAU